UACGUAGGGUGCAAGCGUUAAUCGGAAUUACUGGGCGUAAAGCGUGCGCAGGCGGUUCGGAAAGAGAGGUGUGAAAUCCCAGGGCUUAACCUUGGAACUGCACUUUUAACUACCGGGCUAGAGUACGUCAGAGGAGGGUAGAAUUCCACGUGUAGCAGUGAAAUGCGUAGAGAUGUGGAGGAAUACCGAUGGCGAAGGCAGCCCCCUGGGAUGAUACUGACGCUCAUGCACGAAAGCGUGGGGAGCAAACAGG
rnacentral:rRNA from 1 species